UGUUCCCAUAUACUGAACAGAAUCGUCAAAGC
rnacentral:piRNA from 1 species